ACGAACGCUGGCGGCGUGCUUCACACAUGCAAGUCGAACGGAAAGGCCCUGCUUUUGUGGGGUGCUCGAGUGGCGAACGGGUGAGUAACACGUGAGUAACCUGCCCUUGACUUUGGGAUAACUUCAGGAAACUGGGGCUAAUACCGGAUAGGAGCUCCUGCUGCAUGGUGGGGGUUGGAAAGUUUCGGCGGUUGGGGAUGGACUCGCGGCUUAUCAGCUUGUUGGUGGGGUAGUGACUUACCAAGGCUUUGACGGGUAGCCGGCCUGAGAGGGUGACCGGCCACAUUGGGACUGAGAUACGGCCCAGACUCCUACGGGAGGCAGCAGUGGGGAAUAUUGCACAAUGGGCGGAAGCCUGAUGCAGCAACGCCGCGUGCGGGAUGACGGCCUUCGGGUUGUAAACCGCUUUCGCCUGUGACGAAGCGUGGGUGACGGUAAUGGGUAAAGAAGCACCGGCUAACUACGUG
rnacentral:rRNA from 1 species